GUAGAAACGCGGUUUCACCCUGUCAGCCUGGAUGGCCUCGAUAUCCUGACCUCAUGAUCCACCCGCCUCAGCCUCCCAAAGUGCUGGGAUUACAGGCGUGAGCCACCCUGCCCAGCCUUUUCAAAGCCUUUAAUAAGAAAAUGUUUCCUGUGAGUAAAUCUCAGGGUAGUGUUUUGGUGGGGAGGAUGCCUCCAAGAGAUGGGGAUGUGGAGCCAGGAUGAGGUAAGGACAGACUACGCUAAAAUUUCCAAAUGUGUUUGAUUAUUUUAUUCCCUUGGCAAAACAUCUUGUAAGACUGAUGCUCUAUGGAUUACAGUUUGUGAAAUAUGUGUCUAAAUUAUGACAGUAAAAACAAUAAAAUAAUUUUCAGGGAGUUUACCAUGAGAACUGCUAAAUAUAUUGAUUCGAUAUCACCACGUAGACAUAAAAAUGCUGUUUUCUAAGAGAAGGUUAUAAUAAGACUAGUGUAAGUUGGUAUCAGUUAAUAUUAUCUGAAAUGAUUGCUCGAGGCACAUUUCCUUUUCUUUGCCUUUUUUCCCAUCUCUAUGUUUCUUUUUUCUUCUAUGGUGCCCUGAGUCUAUCAGUUCAUCAGGUACCACUUAGUCAUCUAGGAAAAUGGAGAAAUUGUUUCACAUUUAGAAUACCAGGAACAGUUUUUUGUAGAGACUUGAUGUUUCUGAAUAGCUCAUCAGUUUGCUCAAAUUUUAGGUUGAUAAAAUUUUUAAAAAAGGUAUUGAAAGGUCAACAUUAAACUAACAACAUUUUAUUUUGUCAGAUAAGAACACGGCUAUUGUAAAGAUGGUGAAUACGUAUGCAUCUUGUGUUGCUCUAAAAGAUCCUGAGGCUGAAUAACUUAUAAAGAAAAAAGGUUAUUUGGCUCACAAUUCUGAAGGUCAGAAAAUUCAAGAUUGGAUGCCUGCAUCUGGAGAGGGCCUGCUUUCACUCACAAUGGAAGGUAAAAGGGAGCUGUGUGCAGAGAGCACAUGGGGAGAGAGAAAGCAAGGGAAAGGGGAGGAAGAUGCUAGGCUUUUUUGUUAACAACCUGGAACAGUGAGAACUCAUUCACUCCUCCCUCCAUCCAGCCCCUCAGGAUAC
rnacentral:lncRNA from 1 species